GAUGAACGCUGGCGGCGUGCCUAAUACAUGCAAGUCGAGCGAACAGACGAGGAGCUUGCUCCUCUGACGUUAGCGGCGGACGGGUGAGUAACACGUGGAUAACCUACCUAUAAGACUGGGAUAACUUCGGGAAACCGGAGCUAAUACCGGAUAAUCUAUUGAACCGCAUGGUUCAAUAGUGAAAGACGGUUUUGCUGUCACUUAUCGAUGGAUCCGCGCCGCAUUAGCUAGUUGGUAAGGUAACGGCUUACCACGGCAACGAUGCGUAGCCGACCUGAGAGGGGGAUCGGCCACACUGGAGCUGAGACACGGUCCAGACUCCUACGGGAGGCAGCAGUAGGGAAUCUUCCGCAAUGGGCGAAAGCCUGACGGAGCAACGCCGCGUGAGUGAUGAAGGUCUUCGGAUCGUAAAACUCUGUUAUUAGUGAAGAACAAAUGUGUAAGUAACUAUGCACGUCUUGACGGUACCUAAUCAGAAAGCCACGGCUAACUACGUG
rnacentral:rRNA from 1 species